CUGUCGCCAAGUGGUUAAGGCAUCGGACUUUGACUCCGACAUCGAUGGUUCGAAUCCAUCCAG
rnacentral:tRNA from 1 species